rnacentral:tRNA from 1 species
GAUGGUGUAGUUGGUCAUCACGUUCGGCUGCAAACCGAAAGGUGUAAGUUCAAUAUCACCAUCGUGUUAGAACCA